rnacentral:misc_RNA from 1 species
AACCUAGCACACCUGCGGUGUGUACCUGCGGAGGGAUCAUUACACAAUAAACAUAUGAAGGCUGCACCGCCAACAGGCGGCAAGGCUGGAGUAUUUUAUUACCCUUGUCUUUUGCGCACUUGUUGUUUCCUGGGCGGGUUCGCCCGCCUCCAGGACCACAUGAUAAACCUUUUUUAUGCAGUUGCAAUCAGCGUCAGUACAACAAAUGUAAAUCAUUUACAACUUUCAACAACGGAUCUC